rnacentral:rRNA from 1 species
AUUGAACGCUGGCGGCAGGCCUAACACAUGCAAGUCGAACGGAUCCUUCGGGAUUAGUGGCGGACGGGUGAGUAACGCGUGGGAACAUACCCUUUGGUACGGAAUAGCCUCGGGAAACUGGGAGUAAUACCGUAUGUGGUCGAGAGACGAAAGAUUUAUCGCCAAAGGAUUGGCCCGCGUUGGAUUAGGUAGUUGGUGGGGUAAUGGCCUACCAAGCCGACGAUCCAUAGCUGGUUUGAGAGGAUGAUCAGCCACACUGGGACUGAGACACGGCCCAGACUCCUACGGGAGGCAGCAGUGGGGAAUCUUAGACAAUGGGGGAAACCCUGAUCUAGCCAUGCCGCGUGAUCGAUGAAGGCCUUAGGGUUGUAAAGAUCUUUCAGGUGGGAAGAUAAUGACUGUACCACCAGAAGAAGCCCCGGCUAACUCCGUG